rnacentral:sRNA from 2 species
AAAUACCCUCGUUAGGCGAGGCGGCUGUGUGGGACACAGGCCAUUGCCCCGAAACGUCGAAAGACGCCAAGGGGUAAACCAGGCUGGGCCGGCUUAAGGCCCCGCUCAAAGUGGCUGGGAAAGUGGUUGCGCUCUUAGCAACCAUGGAAAUCCCUACGACGCACAGUGCCAAAGCUCCACCAGGAGGUAACCA